GGAGAGAUGUCUGAGUGGUUGAAAGAGCACGCCUGGAAAGCGUGUGUACGUGAAAGCGUACCGAGGGUUCGAAUCCCUCUCUCUCCGCCA
rnacentral:tRNA from 1 species